rnacentral:lncRNA from 1 species
UGGGCUGCUCCGAAGAAAGCUUUCUUAGAGAGGCGACACUCGGUUGAUGAGGCGCCUGCAUGCUAGGGCCAGGUCGGGUGGAGAGUUCCACGUGGACGACGAUGCCUCAACGCAAGAUCCGUUUCAGUGAUCUACUAAUAACAUCAGGCUGACAGUAGGGUGGCAUGAGAUUUGAGCGUGACGCUUCGUGAGCGACACCUGGUAGGUGAGUCGUGAGAAGGUUUAAAUGCCAAAGUCAACGAGGUUCCAUUGUGGUGACACAUGGUUGAG